GAACGCAAAUCGCACCAGUUCGAACCAACUCCAAAGCAUGAUUUCGGAUUGGGAUUCGUGUGUUGCAUUCGACGUUUGUGAAAUACGCAUUGGAGCACUGGUUCAUGGCUAUUUUAUUUCGACUUCGUUUUUUUCUCUCGCGCGAGCAUAAUAAAAUGCUAAAUUUAGCUCGAAAUAAAUAAUAUAAUAUGGCGAUUGUACGCUGCACAGGAUGCGCAUUGAUCACGCAACACUCCCGACACAUUUUAUUUAAUAAAAUGUCAUAAAAGUGUUAUUUAUCAAUAAUUCGCUAAUUAUAUUUUAUUUAAAAUCCU